ACCUGCUGGACGGGGAGUCAGAGGAUGACACUGUUCACUUUCAACACUCACUGCCAGACUCGUGUGGAAUGCCUCAUGUCAGUGCUGCCUCGACCUCCAGUGAGUCUCUGGAAGGAGUGGGGGAGUCGCGACACGCCUGGCCUUGGGACGUUCGGCUCAGCAAGGACACUAACAACAUCUGCUAUGGGGCCAUCAUCCAGCCUGCCUGGGUCCUCACUGCUGCACACUGCCUUCUAGGCCUGUGAGUGUCACAUAUAUCCUAUACUUUUUCAUCAAUGAACAUUUUAAUAAAAAUAAUAAUAACAGUGCACAUACACACUCAUAUCCUAUAGUAAUAAAUAUACAUUUAGUGAAAAAUAAAUGGUGUAUUUGAACAGUUUGAAAACUAUUUGAAAGCUCUUAUGCUAUACUUUUCCAUAGAUGAAGAUGUUAUUCAUAAAAACAGAUCAUAAUAACACCAGCCUCGAUUUUUUUAUUUGUUUCUUUUCUAACUAACACAGGGAGGACCAAUCAUUAAGGUCACUGUUGGUGGAGACGGGAGGCCCGAAGAACCAGAGGCGUGGUGUGAGGAGGCUUGUGCUGCACCCUCAGUAUGACCCCUCCUCCCAGGACUAUGAUGUGGCCCUGCUACAGCUGGACUCCCCGCUGCUCAUCACUGAGCAUGCCUUGUCUGUCUGUCUGCCCUGCUCGGGACCGGAAGUCCCACAAUCCCAGGUCUGCAUGCUUUCAUCGUGGGAGAGUCAGACAGGUGGACCAUGGAACAGCACUGUUGAGCCGCUAGAGGUGCCACUUGUGAGUCAUGCGGACUGUGAACGUUAUAACACUGGUAGACUGACCGCUAGAAUGCUGUGUGCUGGGCCACCACAGCAUCGUGGACAGGACACGUGCACGGGUCCAGGGGAUUCUGGGGGAGCACUGGUGUGUCAGAGAAAGGACUCUGGUUACUUUGUCCUGGGAGUGAGCAGCCGAAAGGAAGGCUGUGGGAAGUUCCAGAGGCCAGGAGUCUACACCUCAGUCCCCAUGAUAACAGACUGGAUUCACGAAAAACUCCACGAAGAUUCAGCUGACUCCUCUAGAACCCUGCCAUACCAGAAGCAGCAGGAGGAGCUGGCCUUCAGCAUAGAUUAUGAUGAUAAUAACUAUGGAGCGGAGUCAUCUGGAGAAUCCUAUUAGCCUUGACCCACCUAGCUUGAGGCUGGAGGACCAUGUGGUAUUCUUACGGAGUCAAGCUGCUUUUUGUUGCUUCCAUAUACCGCUCAGAAAUUAAACAGACACAGCGGUUCUAACAGAGACAUGAUUUGAAAAAGGGAACAUCCAAUCAGCACAAAUUCCAUGGAUUUUUGGGAAGGGCUAUGGAACAAUUGAAUUGUCAUACUGUCUGUCUGUCUGUCGCACGCACGCACGCACGCACAGUACACACAGUACACACACAAACACAAGCAGUUUUUCAAUUAAUUAUGCUAAGAGAAACAGUUACACAAAUUAUGUUUUCCUUAGGAGGAAGAAGACAUGUCUCGUCCCAAAGAAUUUAUGCUACCCACGUAUUUCUAAAUAAAUACUUGACACAUACAGUUCCUACCUGUUCCACCAGCGAUCAUUCCCAUACAGUAUGUUUAAUUGCGGACCUUAGCCUCAGACUACUUAUUAGGUUGAAUGGCAAAUUUGCCUUUAAAUUGGGAGAAAUUGGUUUCAAUAAGGUUUGAUGCAUUGUAUUACAUUGCCCUCUAUUGAUCAAACAAUGAUAAUGCCAUGAUGAAGCACAGCAUGGUACACACCUUACUAGAAUGACUAGAUCACAGUACACACACACACACACAAAUAUUUUAUUUGUAAACCAGUGUUCAACCACUGAGUGAUCUGACACUGGAGUGAUAAUAUUAAAUUAUAGCGUCAUCAACAUGCCUGGAGAUAUUUUAAUUAAUUAGACAGUGUGCACACAUUCACACACGCACACACACAAACCUUUUCCAGUGCUAAACCGGUGCUCAACCCCUGAGUGAUCUGACACUGAAGUGAUUUUGGAUCAUUCACCUCCUCAUCUGGUUCACUCAGCUGUGCUUUGUCAUGGCUCCGUCAUAGUGAGUUCCUCUCUCCUAUUGGUCCGUCAGCCCUCCAUUAACUCCCCUUCCUCUAGGUAGCCAUGGUGCAAAGGUCUGACUCCAGGGCCUGGCUCCGUAUGUUUGACACCCCUGAAACGAAAUCAUCUUUGGUUACAGCUCAACAGAAGUUGUUUUCAAGGCUAUGAUGCUGAAGUCGACUGAAAGAAAACAUCCAAAGUCACCUAGGGGUGGCAUGUAGCCUAGCAGUUAAGAGCAUUGGUCCAGUACCUGAAAGGUCAUUGGUUUGAAUCCCUGCGACAGAUGAUACAAUAUCUACUUGACGGAAAGGACAAAUGCAUUCAGACAGAUGAACCCUGAGGGGUAUCCUACAACGCAGGAUCAAGGAGUUAGCCAGCUAACUUGCCUAAACAUUCUGAUAUAACUUUUAUAUUUUGUAGAAAUAUAAGAUUGAAAUGGGCAUUGUCGAAUUGAUUUAAUAUCAAUGUUUUGCUUUUUUUAUUAACCAUAAAAUCAAUAGUUAUUUCUGGUUACUGCUAACUGCUAACUAAUGGAUCAUACCUUGCAGUAUACCCCUCUGAUCUCCACCCCAGAUGUAAAGUGCUUCCGCCUUACAUCCAGGUUCAUGUAGAGACCAUGUCUAGAUGUUACUAUAUUACUAAAGGUUACAGGAAGUGUUGAUUGCUGAAAGUACACAAACUCUAUCAAUGUACCAAAAACAAACGUACUGGACUGGAUACAGCUGGCAUGCAGGUCCUCAGGAGGAAAUGAAAACUUAAUUCUUCUCCAGAUAAUGUGGCACCACCUGCUGGUAGGAGCAAGGUCUGUUGGAUUCAAUGAAAUCAACCCACAGAGGGAUAGUUUUAUUGGGCCAAAAGUCAUCUUCUAAAACUAUAAACAAAGAUGAAGAAAUCUAGUCAGAGCCUGUGCCUGUUCAACAGUUGUCUGACCAAUGUUUCAACUUCUAAACAAUGAAACAACAAUCAAAACCUACAUUUUUUUCAUAAAUACACUGAACAAAAAUAUAUACGAAACAUGUGAAGUGUUGGUCCCAUGUUUCAUGAGCAGAAAUAAAAGAUUCUAGAAAUGUUCCAUAUGCACAAAAAGCUUAUUUUUCUUAAAUGUUGCACACACAUGUAUUUACAUCCCUAUUAUUGAGUUUUUCCCCCUUGCCAAAGAUAAUUCAUCCACUUGACAGGUGUGGCAUAUCAAGAAGCUGAUUAAACAGCAUGAUCAUUAUAAAGGUGCGCCUUGUGCUGGUGACAAUAAGGCCACUCUAAAAUGUGCAGUUUUGUCACACAACACAAUGCCACAGAUAUAUCAAGUAUUUAAGGAGCUAGCAAUCGGUAUGAUGACUGCAAGAAUGUCUACCAGAGCUGUUGUCAGAGAAUUUAAUGUUAAUUUCUCUACCAUAAGCCGCCUUCAACGUCAUUUUAGAGAAUUUGGCAGUACGUCCAACCGGCCUCACAACCGCAGACCACGUGUAACCAUGCCAGCCCUUCCACAUCUGUCUUCUUCACCUGCGGGAUAGUCUGAGACCAGCCACCCAGACAGCUGAUGAAACUGAGAGUGCCCAAUGGUGGUGGUGGGGUUAUGGUAUGGGCAGGCAUAAGCUACAGACAAUGAACACAAAUGCAUUUUAUUGAUGGCAAUUUGAAUGCACA
ensembl:lncRNA